GGCGUGCCUAAUACAUGCAAGUCGAGCGAACAGAUAAGGAGCUUGCUCCUUUGACGUUAGCGGCGGACGGGUGAGUAACACGUGGAUAACCUACCUAUAAGACUGGGAUAACUUCGGGAAACCGGAGCUAAUACCGGAUAACAUAUUGAACCGCAUGGUUCAAUAGUGAAAGGCGGCUUUGCUGUCACUUAUAGAUGGAUCCGCGCCGUAUUAGCUAGUUGGUAAGGUAACGGCUUACCAAGGCAACGAUACGUAGCCGACCUGAGAGGGUGAUCGGCCACACUGGAACUGAGACACGGUCCAGACUCCUACGGGAGGCAGCAGUAGGGAAUCUUCCGCAAUGGGCGAAAGCCUGACGGAGCAACGCCGCGUGAGUGAUGAAGGUCUUCGGAUCGUAAAACUCUGUUAUCAGGGAAGAACAAAUGUGUAAGUAACUGUGCACAUCUUGACGGUACCUGAUCAGAAAGCCACGGCUAACUACGUGCCAGCAGCCGCGGUAAUACGUAGGUGGCAAGCGUUAUCCGGAAUUAUUGGGCGUAAAGCGCGCGUAGGCGGUUUUUUAAGUCUGAUGUGAAAGCCCACGGCUCAACCGUGGAGGGUCAUUGGAAACUGGAAAACUUGAGUGCAGAAGAGGAAAGUGGAAUUCCAUGUGUAGCGGUGAAAUGCGCAGAGAUAUGGAGGAACACCAGUGGCGAAGGCGA
rnacentral:rRNA from 1 species